CCCUGGCUCAGAACGAACGCUGGCGGCAGGCUUAACACAUGCAAGUCGAGCGCCCCGCAAGGGGAGCGGCAGACGGGUGAGUAACGCGUGGGAAUCUACCCAUCUCUACGGAAUAACUCAGGGAAACUUGUGCUAAUACCGUAUACGCCCUUCGGGGGAAAGAUUUAUCGGAGAUGGAUGAGCCCGCGUUGGAUUAGCUAGUUGGUGGGGUAAAGGCCUACCAAGGCGACGAUCCAUAGCUGGUCUGAGAGGAUGAUCAGCCACAUUGGGACUGAGACACGGCCCAAACUCCUACGGGAGGCAGCAGUGGGGAAUAUUGGACAAUGGGCGCAAGCCUGAUCCAGCCAUGCCGCGUGAGUGAUGAAGGCCUUAGGGUUGUAAAGCUCUUUCACCGGAGAAGAUAAUGACGGUAUCCGGAGAAGAAGCCCCGGCUAACU
rnacentral:rRNA from 2 species